rnacentral:rRNA from 1 species
CCUACGGGUGGCAGCAGUGGGGGAUAUUGCACAAUGGGGGGAACCCUGAUGCAGCGACGCCGCGUGUGGGAAGACGGUCCUCUGGAUUGUAAACCACUGUCCCCAGGGACGAAAGUGACGGUACCUGGGGAGGAAGCUCCGGCUAACUACGUGCCAGCAGCCGCGGUAAUACGUGGGGAGCGGGCGUUGUCCGGAAUUACGGGUGUAAAGGGAGCGUAGGCGGGGAUGCAAGUUGGGGGUAAAAACUACCGGCUCAACUGGUAGUCGCACUUAAAACUGCAGCUCUUGAGUGAAGUAGAGGCAGGCGGAAUUCGUGGUGUAGCGGUGAAAUGCGUAGAUAUCAGGAAGAACACCAGUGGCGAAGGCGGCCUGCUGGGCUUUUACUGACGCUGAGGCUCGAAAGUGUGGGGAGCAAACAGGAUUAGAUACCCGAGUAGUC